rnacentral:rRNA from 1 species
CCUACGGGAGGCUGCAGUGGGGAAUAUUGGACAAUGGGCGAAAGCCUGAUCCAGCCAUGCCGCGUGUGUGAAGAAGGCCUUCGGGUUGUAAAGCACUUUCAGUGGGGAAGAAAGCCUUGGGGCUAAUACCCUCGAGGAAGGACAUCACCCACAGAAGAAGCACCGGCUAACUCCGUGCCAGCAGCCGCGGUAAUACGGAGGGUGUGAGCGUUAAUCGGAAUUACUGGGCGUAAAGCGCGCGUAGGCGGUCUGAUAAGCCGGUUGUGAAAGCCCCGGGCUCAACCUGGGAACGGCAUCCGGAACUGUCAGGCUAGAGUGCAGGAGAGGAAGGUAGAAUUCCCGGUGUAGCGGUGAAAUGCGUAGAGAUCGGGAGGAAUACCAGUGGCGAAGGCGGCCUUCUGGACUGACACUGACGCUGAGGUGCGAAAGCGUGGGUAGCAAACAGGAUUAGAUACCCUGGUAGUC